UCAGCACCAGACAGGGACGUUGUACUCACCAAGUUAAUCGCUGAUGUCUGGGGACACGGCGACAUCGAUAAAAAGAAACAACAAACACGAGCAGGCACUUUAUUUGGAGGUCGGCAUUGGUUUACAUCAAGUUCAAGGCCUCCGUGGUCGACCACAGUCCGUCAACAGAGCAGAUCUCGGAUCAAUGCAAUCGAGGUCUGAUUCGAGGAGGGGAAUUACAGUGCAGAGAGCUCCUGUUUCGCUCCAGGCACAG